AUGGACUCCGGCGGCGGCGACUCGUCCGGCAGCGCGGGCGCGGCUGCCGCGGCGGCCAAGUGGCGGAGGGAGGCGACGCGGGCGUUCCAGUACUACCUGGACCGGUCGACGCCGCACGCGACGGGGCGGUGGGUGGGCACGCUGGUGGUGGCCGGCGUGUACGCGCUCAGGGUCUUGUCCAUCCACGGCUUCUACAUCGUCAGCUACGGGCUCGGGAUCUACCUCCUCAACCUCCUCAUCGGCUUCCUCUCCCCCAUGGUGGACCCGGAGCUCGACCCCUCCGCCGCCGCCGCCGGGCCCGCCCUCCCCACCCGCGGAUCCGACGAGUUCAAGCCCUUCAUCAGGAGGCUCCCAGAGUUCAAGUUCUGGUAUGCAAUCACAAAGGCUUUUCUUAUAGCUUUUGUCAUGACUUUCUUCUCUGUGUUCGACGUCCCUGUCUUCUGGCCUAUACUGCUCUGCUACUGGAUUGUACUCUUUGUGCUCACGAUGAAGCGCCAGAUUCUGCACAUGGUCAAGUACAAAUAUGUGCCCUUCAACAUCGGCAAGCAGAAAUACGGCGGGAAGAAGGGUGGCGCGAGCAGCAGCUCGUCGAAAGACUGA
rnacentral:rRNA from 1 species